AUGCCACCGGACGGGCGCAUCCAGCCGGUGUUUCACAUCUCCUAGUUCAAGCCUUUUGUCCCCAGCUACACUUCGGUAUUCUCCGAGCUACCCAAGGUACCUGACUUGAUGACGAUACCCCUGAAGACGAUUGCCAUUUAGGAACGACGAAUGGUGAAGAAAGGGGAUGCAGCUCUUGUUCAGAUACGAGUGAAAUGGUCUACAUUGCCUGCUGAUGCUACUACGUGGGAAGACUACGACGUUCUCUGGAAGCGUUUCCAUGAAGCGGAGCUCUGGGAGGAAGAAGAAGAAGCUGCUCAAGAUGGGGCGACUAUAACGCCUUCAGGUUUAGGUUCGUCAGGCAACUGA
rnacentral:rRNA from 1 species